UACGGAGGGUGCAAGCGUUAAUCGGAAUUACUGGGCGUAAAGCGCACGUAGGUGGUUUUCUAAGUCAGCUGUGAAAUCCCCGGGCUCAACCUGGGACUUGCAGUUGAAACUGGAAAGCUAGAGUAGGGUAGAGGGGUGUGGAAUUCCAGGUGUAGCGGUGAAAUGCGUAGAUAUCUGGAGGAACAUCAGUGGCGAAGGCGGCUUCCUGGACCAACACUGACGCUCAGGUGCGAAAGCGUGGGUAGCGAAUAGG
rnacentral:rRNA from 1 species